UACAGAGGGGGCAAGCGUUGUUCGGAAUUACUGGGCGUAAAGGGCGCGUAGGCGGCCUUCUAAGUCGAACGUGAAAUCCCCGGGCUCAACCCGGGAACUGCGUCCGAUACUGGAAGGCUUGAAUCCGGGAGAGGGAUGCGGAAUUCCAGGUGUAGCGGUGAAAUGCGUAGAUAUCUGGAGGAACACCGGUGGCGAAGGCAGCCUCCUGGGCCAACACUGACGCUCAUGCACGAAAGCGUGGGGAGCAAACAGG
rnacentral:rRNA from 1 species